ensembl:miRNA
GAGGUGGGAGGAUCACUUGAGCCUGAGAGGUUGAGGCUGGAGUGAGCUGUGAUUGUACCAUUGCACUCCAGCCUGAGUGACAGAGCAAGACCCUGUCUC